CUUAAUUGGAAAAUACACCCACAUAAGGAAAGUGAAGCUCCCAACCCUUCGAACAGAGAUUCGAUCCCGACGACAAUUUUCCCAGGUAGGUGGCACUACAGUGAAGAUACGGUUGUUGCUGGGAGCAUUAUUUCGUCGGUUGCUAUCUCCAUCGAACUUUCAUGUUUUCGAAGACGAUUACAUUCCGUCGUCCUUUUCCACUCGCUCCCCAAACGUAUAAGUUUCUUGGUUGCCUUAAUUGGAGAAUACACCCACAUACGGAAAGUGAAGCUCCCAACCCUUCGAACAAAGAUCCGAUCCCGACGACAAUUUUCCCAGGUUGGUGGUACUACAACAAAGAUACGAUUGUUGCUGGGAGCAUUUCGUCAGUUGCCAUCUCCGGCAAACUUUCACAUUUUUUAAGACGGUUACAUUCCAUCGUCCUUCUCCAUCUCGCUCCCCAAAUGUGCAUGUUUCUUUGUACGAUUGUUGUUGGAAGCAUUAUUUCGUCAGUUGCCAUCUCUGUCGAACUUUCAUGUUUUCGAAGACGGUUGCAUUCCAUCUUCCUUCUCCAUCUCGCACCCCAAACGUCUAAGCUUCUUUGUUUGAUUUUUCAAAUUUUAACUUUCUUCAUUUGGAAAGAUGAUAAAUGGCGGUCUCGUUACCUUGAAGAUUUUUAAUUACUGUCCAUGUGCAGAUUUACCAAUUUUUAACCUUCUUCAUUCGGAAAAGCCAUCUCCGUGCCGUCUUCGAUCAAAGAUUGUUGUUUAAAGGGCCUUUGAUUAUGGUCAGGUAUUCCUUUUUUUUUUGUCUUUUCUCUACAAUCAUAUGACUGCCACACAUUUUAUGCAACGUAGUUUAACCUCAAAUGUACGAUGUCAAAUUUUGUAAUAUAGUGAUAGAAUUUAAGUGUCGAAUCCACAGGGAUUGAUGUUUGAUUUCUAUCGAAUACUAUAAUUAUUUUAACUUCUACUUUAUUCAGAAAAUCAAUUUUUGACUUGAUGUGUUCAUGAUAAAUUAAUAUUAUGUGAUCUAAAUGGCAAUCCAAACAACUUAAUGUGAAAUAUAUGAAAAUAAUCAAUGCAAAGAAGUCUAGAGAAUGAUUUCACCGUCCUAUCAGCAAUGUUUUUCAAUCUCUAUGGUUAUUUCUCUAAAUUUUUCUCAAUUUCACAUUUUCUUUCUCGAGUGCCGAAUAGAAUUUAUUUCUAUACUCUAACCCCAAUAUCUCUAUUUCAGAUUAGAUCUAUAAAAAUUAUUAAGUCCUUGGUUCUUGAUUUGAAAUAAGCCUCAAAAAAUUCGUACUUUCUCUGGAAAUCUAGGUUAUGUUAUUCGUAGUUCAAGAUUAAAUCUCCCUCUCUCGAGUGCUAAAAUUCAAUAAAUCAAUCAUUCAACCAUUGAUCAGGUGAUUGAAAGCAAUAAGCACGAAUAACACUAAUAAAUGCUGAAAAAUUAAAGAAAUACGAUAUCAACAUCCAAACAUUGUAUCAGGUUGGGUUACAUCAACCCCAGAUCUAAGAUUUAGUUCAUAAUUGAUGAAAAUAACAUUCUAAAAUACAAAAUAAUGAGCAUGGAGAAGAAGGGAUUAGGGAAAACUCAGUUGAUGCUUCAAAUCUUCUCCCAAUGUUUGUAGAUCUUCUUCUUUGAAAAGCUUUUUCUCUUGUUUUUGCUUUGAGUCUUCUUUCCUCUUUGAUUUCUCGAAAAUCCAACCCCCUUUUCUAGGUCUUUUUCGUAGGUACUUAUAGUCUUUUAGGUUUUCAAGAUGUUUCAAGUUAGGCCGGGUCGAGAGUUCCCAAAAAAUAUGAAGUUUUUGCGUCUCGUGAGUCGGUGCUAAGCCGCGAUCUUCUUUUCUGCCCGCGCUGCGGCUCCCAGGCUGGGUUGAGAGUUCCAAAAAAAAUAUGAAGCUUUUGCCUCUAAUGAGUUGCCACCAUGGCACUAGGCCGCGAUCUUCUUUUUAAGCUUCUUGUUUCUUCAAUGCUCAUGGGCGCCGCGGCGCCCAACUCUCUGCUAUUUUUCUUCUUUUCUUGGGCGCCCAAUUUCAAAACCACGAUGCCCAUGGAACUGUUUCUCCUUGCUUUAUUUAUUAUCUAAGCCUCGUAGCCAUAUCAUUCUCCUUCAAUUUUCUCCAAUUCAUAAUCGAAUUUUAUAAUCAUCAUUAUAACUCCAUUACAACUCCAAAAUGUGGUAUUUUCUCGAAAGUUGUCCAAACUACAAAACAACACGAACAUACACAUCAAAACGUUCAAAUUUGCUCAAGAACAAACUAAAAACCGUGAUUAUAAGUGUUAGUUUAAUGAGUGAAUUGCACUCAUCAGUGACGUAGGCUACAUUCUUGCUUGAAUAUUGUCUAUUAAGGUUGCUUGUUCCUUGUUCCGUGACUUAGUUCAUGAAGUGACUUGGUAAGGUUGCUUGUUCUCAAAUAUUGCCUAUUAAGGAUAUAUUUUUUGUUGGACAUUUGGUCUAUAUGGUUGAUUUGGGGAGUUAGUUGAACUUAAAAAUUCAUGUUCUUCAUGCUAUUCGAAAGAGAUUCAGUAUGCUUGAUUUGAGGAGUCAGUUGAACAAAAAAAUUGAGGUACUUCAUAGUAAUUGAUAGAGGUUCACAUAAAAUAACUAAUGAUUAUUUGCAAUUAAUAAUGUAGUGAAAAUGUCGUUUAAGAUUAGUUUAUUUGUUUUGCCUAUCUUAGUGUUAUUAUGGAAUCUUGAAUGUGAUUCCUUAUGUUGUCGUAGAUACCAAAAUAUGGACGAAGUGCAAAUCAGGCAUGAUGAGG
rnacentral:lncRNA from 1 species